CGCCUCCUGCAAUAUAAAGUAUAGGAGGUCCAGCCUGCCCAGUGACUACGGGUUCAACGGCCGCGGUAUAUUGACCGUGCAAAGGUAGCGCAAUCACUUGUCUUUUAAAUAGAGACCUGUAUGAAUGGCUAGACGAGGGCUUAACUGUCUCCCCCUUCCAGUCAGUGAAAUUGAUCUAUCCGUGCAGAAGCGGGUAUAAUACUACAAGACGAGAAGACCCUUUGGAGCUUAAGGUACAAAAUUCAGCCAUGUUAAGCAACUCCAUAGAAAGCAAGAACUUUAUGGCCAUGAAGCUUUACCUUCGGUUGGGGCGACCACGGAGGAAAAGCAAGCCUCCGAGUGGACUGGGCCAAACCCCUAAAGCUAAAAGAGACAUCUUUAAGCCGCAGAACAUCUGACCAACAAUGAUCCGACCAAGAGGUCGAUCAACGGACCAAGUUACCCUAGGGAUAACAGCGCAAUCCUCUCCCAGAGCCCAUAUCGACGAGGGGGUUUACGACCUCGAUGUUGGAUCAGGACAUCCUGAUGGUGCAGCCGCUAUUAAGGGUUCGUUUGUUCAACGAUUAAAGUCCU
rnacentral:rRNA from 1 species